GAUGAACGCUGGCGGCGUGCCUAACACAUGCAAGUCGAACGGAAAGGCCCUGCUUUUGUGUGGUGCUAGAGUGGCGAACGGGUGCGUAACACGUGAGUAACCUGCCCUUGACUUUGGGAUAACUUCAGGAAACUGGGACUAACACCCGAUAGCAGCUCCUGAUGCCUGGUGAUGGUUGGAAAGCUUCGGCGGUUGGCGGUGGACCCGCGGCUUAUUAGCUUGUUGGGGGGGGAGUGGCCUACCCAGGCCUUGGCGGGUAGCCGGCCUGAGAGGGUGACCGGCGACAUGGGGACUGAGAUACGGCGCAGACGCCGACGGGAGGCAGCGGUGGGGAAUAUUACACAAUGGGCGGAAGCCUGAGGCAGCGACGCCGCGUGUGGGAUGACGGCCUUCGGGUUGUAAACCGCUGUCGCCUGUGACGAAGCGGGAGUGACGGUAAUAGGUGAAGAAGCACCGGCUAACUACGUG
rnacentral:rRNA from 1 species